GACGAACGCUGGCGGCGCGCCUAACACGUGCAAGUCGAACGGAGCUUAGAGAGCUUGCUUUUUAAGCUUAGUGGCGAACGGGUGAGUAACGCGUGAGUAACCUGCCCUAGAGUGGGGGACAACAGUUGGAAACGACUGCUAAUACCGCAUAAGCCCACGGUGCCGCAUGACACUGAGGGAAGAGGAUUUAUUCGCUUUAGGAUGGACUCGCGUCCAAUUAGCUAGUUGGUGAGGUAACGGCCCACCAAGGCGACGAUUGGUAGCCGGACUGAGAGGUUGAACGGCCACAUUGGGACUGAGACACGGCCCACACUCCUACGGGAGGCAGCAGUGGGGGAUAUUGCACAAUGGGGGAAACCCUGAUGCAGCGACGCCGCGUGGAGGAAGAAGGUUUUCGGAUUGUAAACUCCUGUCGUUAGGGACGAUAAUGACGGUACCUAACAAGAAAGCACCGGCUAACUACGUGCCAGCAGCCGCGGUAAAACGUAGGGUGCAAGCGUUGUCCGGAAUUACUGGGUGUAAAGGGAGCGCAGGCGGGAAGACAAGUUGGAAGUGAAAACCAUGGGCUCAACCCAUGAAUUGCUUUCAAAACUGUUUUUCUUGAGUAGUGCAGAGGUAGAUGGAAUUCCCGGUGUAGCGGUGGAAUGCGUAGAUAUCGGGAGGAACACCAGUGGCGAAGGCGGUCUACUGGGCACCAACUGACGCUGAGGCUCGAAAGCAUGGGUAGCAAACAGGAUUAGAUACCCUGGUAGUCCAUGCCGUAAACGAUGAAUAAGGGGUGUUGGGGGAUUGACCCCCUUCAGUGCCGCAGUUAACACAUAAAUUAAUCCACCUGGGGGAGUACGACCGCAAGGUUGAAACUCAAAGGAAUUGACGGGGGCCCGCACAAGCAGUGGAGUAUGUGGUUUAAUUCGAAGCAACGCGAAGAACCUUACCAGGUCUUGACAUCCGAUGCAUAGCACAGAGAUGUGUGAAAUCCUUCGGGACAUCGAGACAGGUGGUGCAUGGUUGUCGUCAGCUCGUGUCGUGAGAUGUUGGGUUAAGUCCCGCAACGAGCGCAACCCUUAUUGCCAGUUACUACGUUAAGAGGACUCUGGCGAGACUGCCGUUGACAAAACGGAGGAAGGUGGGGAUGACGUCAAAUCAUCAUGCCCUUUAUGACCUGGGCUACACACGUACUACAAUGGCGUUAAACAAAGAGAAGCAAGACCGCGAGGUGGAGCAAAACUCAAAAACAACGUCUCAGUUCAGAUUGCAGGCUGCAACUCGCCUGCAUGAAGUCGGAAUUGCUAGUAAUCGCGGAUCAGCAUGCCGCGGUGAAUACGUUCCCGGGCCUUGCACACAGGGCCCGUC
rnacentral:rRNA from 1 species